CACGUGAGCAACCUACCGAACUGUGGGGGAUAGCCGGCCUAACGGCCGAGUAAUACCGCAUACGCUCUCAGAGAGGCAUUUCAUUGAGAGGAAACCUACGGGACAGAUCGAGGGGCUCGCGGCCUAUCAGCUAGUUGGCGGGGUAAAGGCCCACCAAGGCAACGACGGGUAGCUGGUCUGAGAGGAUGAUCAGCCACACUGGAACUGAGACACGGUCCAG
rnacentral:rRNA from 1 species